UGAGUACGAGAUGCUACGGCAUCGAAGCAGUCUAUGUCAUACUUCCAAGAAAAGCUUGCAAUGUCAUAAACAAAUAAUGCCUGUACCAUAACCGACACAGGUGGGUAGGUAGAGUAUACUAAGGGGCGCGAGAUAACUCUCUCUAAGGAACUCGGCAAAAUGACUCCGUAACUUCGGGAGAAGGAGUGCCUUAUUUUUAUAAGGUUGCAAUAACAAGAUCCAAGCAACUGUUUACCAAAAACACAGGUCUCCGCUAAGUCGUAAGACGAUGUAUGGGGGCUGACGCCUGCCCAGUGCCAGAAGGUUAAAGAAGUUGGUUAGCAUUAGCGAAGCUGAUAACUGAAGCCCUGGUGAACGGCGGCCGUAACUAUAACGGUCCUAAGGUAGCGAAAUUCCUUGUCGGGUAAGUUCCGACCCGCACGAAAGGCGUAAUGAUUUGGAUACUGUCUCGGAGAGGGGCUCGGUGAAAUAGACUUGUCUGUGAAGAUGCGGACUACCUGCACCUGGACAGAAAGACCCUAUGAAGCUUUACUGUAACUUGAGAUUGAAAUUGGACUUUAUCUGCGCAGUAUAGGUGGGAGACGUUGAAAAUAUUCUUGCGGGAAUAUUGGAGUCAUCAGUGAGAUACCACUCUUAUAAUGUUAGAUUUCUAACUUUGUAUCAUUAUCUGGUCAAAGAACAGUUUCAGGCGGGCAGUUUGACUGGGGCGGUCGCCUCCCAAACGGUAACGGAGGCGCACAAAGGUUUCCUCUGAACGUGUAGAAAUCGUAUCUAGAGUGUAAAGGCAUAAGGAAGCUUGACUGUGAGACCUACAAGUCGAGCAGGGACGAAAGUCGGUCUUAGUGAUCUGACGGUGCUGAGUGGAAAGGCCGUCACUCAACGGAUAAAAGUUACUCUAGGAUAACAGGCUGAUCUCCCCCAAGAGUUCACAUCGACGGGGAGGUUUGGCACCUCGAUGUCGGCUCAUCGCAUCCUGGGGCGGUAGUACGUCCCAAGGGUUGGGCUGUUCGCCCAUGAAAGCGGUACGCGAGCUGGGUUCAGAACGUCGUGAGACAGUUCGGUCCAUAUCCGGUGUAGGCGUUAGAAUAUUGAGAGGAGCCUUCUUUAGUACGAGAGGACCGAGAAGGACAUACCUCUGGUGUACCAGUUAUCGUGCCAACGGUAAACGCUGGGUAGCCAUGUAUGGAGAGGAUAACCGCUGAAAGCAUCUAAGUGGGAAGCCCACCUCAAGAUAAGUA
rnacentral:rRNA from 1 species